UAAUUUGGAUAUACAAGUAUUAGCUUAGACAGCUCGCUUGCUGCAUUUCUCCCUGGCUCUGGGCAGACAGGAUUUUAUAAUGCAGAAUCAGUCUAACCAGCCAUUUCCAGAUGGACUUGGGGGUGGCUGCUGCUUCGUUGAGAAAGACAAUCUUAUCAGAUCUUUUCUUUAUCUUCCUGGGCUCAGAAAUUCACUUUCAUUAGGUCAGCCAGGGAUGAACGAACCCUACAGAUUUGAUCCACUGGGGAUUGAUGAAGACCAGGAUAAUAGUUAAUUAUUCUGAGAAACUGUUAUUUCCAAAUAGUUAGAAUAGUUUAUUGGUGGGUAACUAUUAUUCUGCCAGGAAAAUCUGCCAGGAACCUAUAUUAAGGUGACAAGAUAGUUUGGAGGGAGCCUGAUGGCCUUAAUCCUACAGUACUGUUUCCAGUUUGGAAAGUCAACCCAAGAAACAUUUAUUGAGGGUCUGCUGCAUGUGAAGGAGAGGAAGCUGGCCGUUAUUGAACCCCUCCUGUGUGGUAAGCACUGUUUAGUUCUUUAACACUUUGGUUUUUUACAUGCUUGUUGCAUUUAAUCUCAUUUAAUGGGUAAAUCACUGUGGAGAGUACAGGGCUGAAAGAAGCAGCCUCUAGUGCUAGGGACGUUCUAGACCUGUACUGUCCAGUAUGAUGUCCCCUAGCCACAUGUGGUUAUUUGAGAAUUGAAAUGUGGCCUCUCCAAGUUGAAAUGUGUUCUAGGUUGUGCAGUAGUGCUAGCGGCUUCGCGUUUCGGUCCUCUGACCCGAAGCCGCUUUUGGUGCUAAGCUGCUAGGAAGCCCCUCUCGGCGAGCUUGUUGGAGCUUGAACCCAUUGUCACCCCUCCAACUCACCAGCAAAAAAAAAAAAAAAAAAAAUGGUUGAAGCAGAUCGCCCAGGAAAGCUCUUUAUUGGUGGGCUUAAUACAGAAACAAAUGAGAAAGCUCUUGAAGCAUUAUUUGGCAAAUAUGGAUGAAUAGUGGAAGUACUCUUGAGGAAAGACUGUGAAACCAACAAAUCAAGAGAAUUUGCUUUUGUCACCUUUGAAAGCCCAGCAGAUGCUAAGGAUGCAGCCAGAGACAUGAAUGGAAAGUCAUUAGAUGGAAAAGCCGUCAAAGUGGAACAAGCCACCAAACCAUCAUUUGAAAGUGGUAGACGUGGGCCACCUCCACCUCCAAGAAGUAGAGGCCCUCCAAGAGGUCUUAGAGGUGGAAGAGGAGGAAGUGGAGGAACCAGGGGACCUCCCUCACGGGGAGGACACAUGGAUGACGGUGGAUAUUCCAUGAAUUUUAACAUGAGUUCUUCCAGGGGCCACUCCCAGUAAAAAGAGGACUGCCACCAAGAAGUGGGGGUCCUCCUCCAAAGAGAUCUGCACCUUCAGGACCAGUUCUCAGCAGCAGUGGAAUGGGAGGAAGAGCUCCUGUAUCACGUGGAAGAGAUAGUUACGGAGGUCCACCUUGAAGGGAACCGCUGCCUUCUUGUAGAGAUGUUUAUUUGUCCCCAGGAGAUGAUGGGUAUUCUACUAAAGACAGCUAUUCCAGCAGAGAUUACCCAAGUUCUCGUGAUACACGAGAUUAUGCACCACCACCACGAGAUUAUACUUACCUUGACUAUGGUCAUUCCAGUUCACCUGAUGGCUGUCCACCAAGAGGCUAUAGCGAUAGAGAUGGAUAUGGUCGUGAUCGUGGCUAUUCAGAUCAUCCAAGUGGACGUUCCUACAGAGAUUCAUAUGAGAGUUAUGGGAACUCACUAGUGCUCCACCUACACGAGGGUCCCCACCAUCUUAUGGUAGAAGCAGUGGCUGUGAUGAUUACAGCAGCUCACGUGACGGAUAUAGUGGAAGUCAAGACGGUCACUCAAGCAGCCGAAGUGAUCUCUACUCAAGUGGUCGUGAUUGGGUUGCAGACAAGAAAGAGGGCUUCCCCCUUCCCAUAGAAUUCCCAUAGAAUCAGUACCCUCCUCCACAUGAUUCCUACAGCAGUUCAAGCCGCGGAGCACCAAGAGGUGGUGGCCGUGGAGGAAGCCGAUCUGAUAGAGGGGGAGGCAGAAGCAGAUACUAGAAACAAACAGAACUUUGGACCAAAAUCCCAGUUCAAAGAAAGAAACAAAAAGUGGAAACUAUUCUGUUAUAACUACCCAAGGACUACUAAAAAGAAAAAUUGUGUUACCUUUUUAAAAUUCCCUGUUAAGUUCCCCUCCAUAAUUUUUAUGUUCUUGUGAGGAAAAAAGUAAAACAUGUUUAAUAUUAAAAAAAAAAAAGAAAUGUGUUCUAAGUGUAAAAUAGACACUGGAUUUCCUAGUACACAAGAAAUGUAAAAUAUCUCAUUAAUAAUUUUUGUAUGGCUCACAUUUUAACAUUACACAGUAUUUUGGAUAAAUUAGGUUAAAGAAACUGUCAUUAAAUUAUUUUCACCUAUUGUGCUUUUGGCGUGGCUACUAGAACAUUUAAAAUUGUAUAUGUGGCUCAUAUUUGUAAUUCAUACUGUAUUCUCUUGGAACAGGGAACAGAAUAGAGGUAAGAUAUGCAUUGCUGAGGUCGGGGCUCCCUUCCAACCUUAUGACAAGCAUUUAAAUUGGGGUAAACAUUUCGAAGGAUACUUUGGCAGUGUCCCACAGCGAUAAAAUCUGAAUCUUCCCAGCAGUUACUAUAGUAUUCCUGUAGUACUGUAUCUGUACUUCAGACACAGAAUGCUGAGUUUAACAUAGGUACACCUAACAUUGUAUUCAACUUUUCCUUAUGAUUCCCUCUAAAAUAGAUAUUCAUAUGUCAUUAGCUGCUAAUUGACUAUAAUAUGCUGGGCACUAUGUGAGGUGUCCACCACAGUGGUAGGUAAAUAUGGAGAUCCAGAUUCAAAUAUUAGAUGAUUCUCUCUCAGGUGGAAGGUUCUAGAGCUAUUCACUAUCUAUAAGUAGCUAUGAUACCAGAUACAAAGUGACAGAUGCCUUAUGUAUGGCAGGUAAAGAGCUUUGGUGGUUCGAGAGUGUGGUCACUGUCUGGCUUGGAGCCUGUUGAGCUGGAGCCUGAAGGACAAUAGGACGUCCUUGGGCAAGAUUGAGCAGGUUGCAGUGGUGGUGAUCCAAGGCAGGGAACAGCAAGAGAAAGGCUCGGAGGUGAGACAUUCUUUGGGAAGAAUGGGACUAAUUCAUUUUCCUGGGACAUGGCACAUGUGCAGGGGAAUGAUAAGAGACUGGACUUGAAAAGUGGACGGCCAGGCUAGAGAAUGUGGACAUUUUUCCUGAGUACUUAAAUGUCAUUCAAAUGGUUUCUUAAAUACACAAUUAGCGGUCCCUCUAAAAUUAUGAAUGCCUGAAAGUGUGGUACUGUCUUUUUUUUUUUCCUUUCUGAGAGUGAGCUUAGUUAGUGCUUACAUGUUUUUAAAAUAAAUUCUGUUGAAAUAAUUACUUUGAGUCUAGUUUCUUCAGAUCCUCCAAAUGUGGUAUUUGUUUUAGAACAAGUAGCAACAUGUUCUUUUUAGGAAUGCGACUGUAAGACACAAAGAGAUGUGCUGAGACAGGAGGAUCCAUUUUUCUCUGACAGCCAAUUUGAAGAAGUGUUUAAAAAAGUAUGCCAGCUCUUUAUGUCUUAUAUUUUCCAUUCUAUGAAAGAAAAACACUUUCAUAGAAAUUGCUUUUAAGAAUAUGAAGUCAAAUAAUACCAGCGGGUCUUGAAAAGACCAAAUGGGUACACAUUGUCCCAACACAGAGAGUAUAGAUCAAGAGUCCUGAAAGUGCUGGAGAGGGUUCCAGUUUAGAGGAUGGGCGGGGCACAGUGGCCCUAGCCCAUCAAGCCCAUUAUCCCAGCACUUGGUAGCCUGAGGCAGGCAGAUCACUUGAGCCAGGACUUUGAGACUAGCCUGCGCAACAUAGGGAGACUCCAUCUCUACAAAAACAUUAAUACAGAAACUAGCAGAGUGUGACGGUGCAUGCCUGUAGUCCCAGCUACCCGGGAGGCUGAGGUGGGAGAAUCACUAGAGCCCAAGAGGCAGAGGUUGUAGUGAACCAUGAAUGUACCACUGCACUCCAGCCUGGGUGACAGAGCGAGACCCUGUCUCAAUAAAUAAACGAGCAAGCAAGCAAACAAACCCUGUUUCAAUCAAUAAAAUAAAAACAGGAGUCAGACAUUUGGAUUUAAAUAUCAGCUCUAACAUCUGCUAACUUUUCUGCUCUGUCUUCUAAUAUCCUGAGAUCCACAAUUUUAUGUCCACUCCUCUGACUCUGCCACCUUUUUGCUUUCCAUCAAUGCCCUGUGUUCCUCUUUACCCCCCUUAUCACUUGGUCCACUGUUGUGGUAACUCCACUUGCCUCCCUCCUCUUUCUAUCCUACUCUCCUGGUUAAAGUCAGGGUUAUUCAGGCAUAGCUCUGCACUUUCUUCCAAACAACGGAGCACAUCUGGAAAACACACACACCACUCUGAUGACAUUAAAUUAAUCACCCUACCGUCCAUCCCUGCCUCAACUGACACUCAGCCCUCUCUGGCAACCCUACUGCAUUUCCUAGUAAAUAGGAGAUAGUUUCCUAGAAACUAAAAGCAGUUUCCCAGCUCCCAUAUCCUCUUGCAUCCAUCCAUCAUCUGUCCCCCAUCCCUUUCUCUUUAUCAUGGACAAACGUGCGUCCUCCUGGUUGAGGUCCAUUGCACCCCAGUGUAUCCGGUCUGUUGCUCUCGCCUGUUCAGAACUCUGCUUCCACAGUAUCUGCCCACUAGCUUCAUUAAAAUUCCUCUUUUUACAGGAUCAUUCUUAUUCAGACAUUCUAUAAUGUCUUCCUUCUUUGCAAAUACCUCCUCUUAAUUCUUUAUCUCCCUCCAGAUUUGCCUCAUCUUUGUUCCUCUUCAAAGCAAAACUCUGAUAAGUUGUCUGUUCUCGCUGUCUCCAGUUCCGUACCCCACACUCUCUUCUGACAAUAUCUUAUAAACAUUUCAAACAUGCAGGAAAGUUGAAAGAAUUUUAAGGUGAACACUUGUGAACCACCACCUAGACUCUACAAUCCAUAGUUUGCUUUAUUGCUUGAAUAUACAUCUCGUCACCCAUCUAUUGCUUUAUCCUGUUGUCCCAUUCAAUUUAUGUUUUAGAUACAUUUUAAAGUAAGUUGCAGGCAUCAGGACACUCACUCCUAAACAUUUCAGUGUACAUAUGGUUCAUUUGCUUCCCUAUUUGUUUCUAGUUCUCUUUCGAAGUAAAAUUUUUAAACACUGAAAUGCUCCAGUCUUUUUUUUUUUUUUUUUUUUGAGACGGAGUUUCACUCUUGUUACCCAGGCUGGAGUGCAAUGGCGAGAUCUCGGCUCACCUCAACCUCCACCUCCUGAGUUCAGGCAAUUCUCCUGCUUCAGCCUCCUGAGUAGCUGGGAUUACAGGCACGCGCCACAGUGCCCAGCUAAUUUUUUGUAUUUUUAGUAGAGACGGGGUUUCACCAUGUUGACCAGGAUGGUCUCGGUCUGUUGACCUCGGGAUCCACCUGCCUCGGCCUCCCAAAGUGCUGGGAUUACAGGUGUGAGCCACCGCGCCCGGCCCGAAAUGCUCCAAUCUUUAGUGUACCAUUUAGAGUUUUGGAAAAUGCAAGUACCACCUCUGCAAUCCAAACCCUUUUCAAGGUACAGAACACAAUCGUUGCCACAUAAAGUUUCCUCAUGUUCCUUCCCAAUUCGCCUCCAGACCAUCCUCUUAUACUCUGCCAGAGGCAACCACUGUUUUGAUGUGUUCCCCACCAUAUGUUAUUUUUGCCUUUCUAGAAGAUUAUCAAAAUGGAAUCAUACAGUAUAUGUAUUCUUUCACGUAAGGCAUUUUUCACUCAGUGUAAUGUUUCUGAGAUGUUUUCAUACUAUGUGUAUCAGUAAUUCAUUCCUUUCUGAGCUGCUAAGUAUCAUUUUAUUGUUUGAUUAUACAACAGGUUAUUUAUUCAUUUUUUUAUGGGUGGUUGCCUGAGUGGCUUCCAGGUUUUGACUAUCAUGAAUGCCCCUUUUUGUGGCUGUGUUUUCUUUUCUCUUGGAUAAAUUCUUCGGAAUGAAAUGGUUGGGCCAUAGGAUAGCUGUAUAUUUAGUUUUAUAAACAAUGGCUAGAAUUUUUUCUAAGCUCAUUGCAGUUUCACACUUUGACCCUUGGUGAACGUAGUUUUACACGCUGACCCAUGAUGAAUGAGAGUUGUGCUCUCUCUGCAUCCGUGCCAGCAUUUGGGUUUGAUGGUCUUUUUAACGUUACUUGUUCUGGUGGAGACGUAGCAGUACCUCGUUGUGUGUUUCUUAAAUUUCCUUGAUGAAUAUUAACAUUGAGCACUUUUUCAUGUGUUUAUUGAUCACUAGUCUGUCUUCCUUUGUUGGUGUCCAGUAAACCUUUUGUUCACUUUUAUCGAAUUGUAGGCAUUCAUGAUGUAUUUGAAAAUAUUAGUUCUUUGUCAGAUAUAUGAUUUGCACAUUUUUACUUCCAGGCUGUGGCUUUUUUAAACGGUGCCUUUAAAUGGGUAGAAAUUUUAAAAGUUGCCUAUUGUUUCCUUUUAUGUUGAUUGCUUUCUGAGCCAUAAGCUUUAUAAUUUUAGUUUUUACAUUUAUGUCUAUGAUCCAUCUCAGUUUUUGAGUGUGGUGUGAGGUCAGAAUUGAGACUUAUUUAUUUUUGCUAUGUAGGGAUUUAGUUAUUUUAGCAUCAUUUGUUAAUAAGUCAUUUUUUUCUCUGUUGGAUUUUUCUCUCACCUUCAUGAAUAUUGAAUGAGGAUAUAAGUGUGAGUCUAUUUCUGAGCUCUCUUUUAUGUCUCAUUGAUCUGUUUGUUGAUACUGUCCUGGUACCGCAUUAUCCUGAUUACUGUAGACUUAGUAUGAUGUUUUGAAGUCAGGUAGUGUGAAGUCCUCCAACUUUGGUUUUAUUUUUUAUGAUUGCUCUGGAUAGUCUAAAUACUUUAAAUUUCUAUACACAUUUUAGAAUGAGAUUAUCAAUUUGUACAAAAAAGUUGGAUGAGAUUAUAACUGGGAUGGUGUUGCAUCUAUAGAUCAGUUUCUGGAUAAUAGAAAACUUAAAAAUAUUGGUAUUUUAAUCCAUGAACAUGGUAUAUCCACUUAGUUAGGUCUUUAAUUUCUCUCAGCAAUCUCUUGUCACAUUCUCAUUUGAGCCCACUUUUUAGGCUUUUGCAUAAAAUUCCCCUGAGCCCGCUCUUGAGGAUACCAGUGACUUCCAUGUUUCUACAUCCCGUGGUCAGUUCUCAGACUUACCAAACCCCAGUCCUGAAUCUCAGACUUAUGUAUCCAAGCCUCAGACUUACAUGUCCAACUUCCUACUGCUCUUCAUUUGGGUAUCUAAACGUUCUCUCAAACUUAACCCACCCAAAAUGGCACUCUUGAUUUGGCCCUAAAACGUACUGUUUCUCCUCAGACCCCAGCACCCACAGUGUUCCCCAGCUGAAUAAUUAGACUGUCCUCCCUGCUACUCAUUUGAGUCCUAGAGUGUUCUUGGCAUCUCUCUUUCUUUCACACUCUGCCUCACAACCCACAUCAGAAAAUCUGCUUGGCCCUGUCUUCACAGUAGAUCCUGGAUCUGACUACUUCUCUUCAUCUCCCACCUGGACUACUACAGUGUUCUCCUAAGUAGUUUGCCUUCUCUCAGUCUAUUCUAGUCUUUUUUUAUGUUUAUUUUUCAUUGAGACACAGUCUCUCUCUGUUGCCCAGGCGGGAGUGCAGUGGCACAAUCUCGACUCACUGUAACCUCUGCCUCCCAGUUAAAUCAAUUCUCCUGCCUCAGCCUCUUGAGUAGCUGGGAUUAUAGGUGCCCACCAGCAUGCCCGGAUAAUUUUUGUAUUACAAGUCGAGAGGGGGGUUUCAUCAUGUUGCCCAGUCUGGUCUUGAACUUCUGACCUCAAGUGAUCCACCUGCCUCAGCCUCCCAAAGUGUUGGGAUUACAGGCAUGAGCCACCGUGCCCAGCCCCUCUCAGCCUAUUCUUUACCUACCGAACUUGAGUAAUCUUUUCAAAUGGCACAGGGUUUCAAUGCCUUGAUUAAAUCCUUUCAGGGCCUUUUCAUUAUAUUUAAAGAAAAAACCAAAUGAAACUAUGCAAUGGUUUACAAAGCUGUACACGAUCAGACCUCCCAGUUUCUUCUCUCACUACAUCCUCUGCUGUCGCCCUUUCUUUCACAGCGCUGACUAUACAGGCCUUUUUGUUGCUCUAGAAUACACCAAGUCUAUAGCCUUUGCAGUUUCUGUUUCUUCUGCCUGGAACCUUUUCCCAAGUGGUUCCAUAGCCUGUCCCCUCUCUUUGUUCAGGUCUCUGCUCAAGUGUCAUCUCCCCAGAGUGGCCUCUUCUGACCACCUUAUCUAAGGAGUGUGCCAUCUCCCCACUUAUCCCAUCUCCCUCCAGUCCCUUGCUCUGCUUUGGUUUUCUUUUUCUUUUUUUUUUUUUUUGAGACGGAGUUUCGCUCUUGUUACCCAGGCUGGAGUGCAAUGGUGCGAUCUCGGCUCACCGCAACGUCCGCCUCCUGGGUUCAGGUAAUUCUCCUGCCUCAGCCUCCUGAGUAGCUGGGAUUACAGGCACGUGCCACCAUGCCCAGCCAAUUUUUUGUAUUUUCAGUAGGGACAGGGUUUCACCUUGUUGACCAGGAUGGUCUCAAUCUCUUGACCUCGUGAUCCACCCGCCUCGGCCUCCCAAAGUGCUGGGAUUACAGGCUUGAGCCACCGCGCCCAGCCCUCUGCUUUGGUUUUCUUAAUAGCACUUAGUAUUAUCUGGCUUUAUAUAUAUUUGUUUUAAUUUUUGAUAGUCUGUCUUUCCUAAUAGAAUAUAAACUCCCCAAAGAUAGAAGUCUUCUGCUUUCAUCAUUAAUGCUGAUAGCAAUGCCUGCCACGUAGUAGGUGCUAAGUACAUGUGAAAUGCCUGACCUUGGGAAAUUUAAACUUUUUGGUUCCAUCUUCAUCACCUGAAAAAUGGGGAAAAUAAUGGUAUCUAACUCACAUGGCAGGUGUGAAUGUCAAGUGAGAUAUUGGUUCUAGGAAGAUAUUAUGGCAGUAGUGUUGGCUGUUGCUUGGUAAUGAUCAUUAAGUAACAUAAAUGAUUUAAAUAUAAGCAACAAAUGCAUAUAUGAAUGCAACGUAAGGUAGCAUUUUUGUUAUGUGCUUUUUACAAUGGUCGAUUUCAGAGGUAUAACUCGUAAUAUGUAGUUACUGAUAACUAAGUGGGAGAAAGUAGAUAUAAGUACACAGAAAGUUAAAUGCCAUCACUAUUUAAAUAACCCAUCCACAUAAAUUAGAAAGUCGCAAGGCAUAAUUUGUUGCCUAAUGGAUUUGCGGCUGCUGAUUGCUGUAGUUGUUGAGCGAUUGUUUUUUUUAAAGCAGGGUGAUCUGAAAACACUUUGUAGGAGACAUGGGUUUGGGCUACCCCUUGGAAUGCUGGGGAGGAUUUGACUCCUUUACUGCUGAGGAGGGGGAAGGGCACGGACGCAGUUGGGACAGUGGCACAAACUCAAAAGGAAGGAAGAACUGGGCAAUUUGAAAAACGGAAUAAGCCAGUUUGGCUGGAAGGCGAGGUCUUGUGAGAAAGCAGAUUGACAGCGACACAAAACACAGGGUAGGAUCUAAAGCAAAUGGCUUCAGGUUAAAGGAACUGCCCGGGCAACAGGAAACCCUUCCUUAGGUUGGGUAAGCAAGGAAGGAAAUGCUUCUGGGCAAUUAGGAAAGAAGGCAAAUUAUCAAGGGCUUGUUCCUGCCAGGUUUAGUACCCUCUUCCCUUACAGUGGAGGCAGCUGUGAGCGAAACCUCCGCCUUUUGUAUAGCGGAUGGGUGUGCCGUGUCCAGAGACAGGCAGGAAGGCCAGCUCUUCUGUUCCUGGGAUGCAGAAACCAAUUUUGAACCCUUUUUUUCCUCACAAAAAUUGUCACUCUAGUUUUUAGGUGACUGAUUCGAAGGCAAGUGACAAUUUUCCCUAUGGCUCCUUAUUUUAAAAAGGAAGAAAAUAAUAAGGAAAUUUGGAAAUGAAAGAUCAGUCAAUCAACAUAGUAGUUUACUUUUUAACUGCAUAUUAAGAAAUGUUCAGCUUUUUUUUUUUAGAAGUUACUGUAUUGUGUCAGAUUAGUUAUAUAAAGCCACAUUCUCAUUGUGUAAAAGGAAGUCAUGUAUUAUUAUAUGAAAAGGGUCCAAAGUCAUCUGUUAACUGAUCAGGUUAUUUGAAAAGAGAGGUUAUCUAGUUAGCCAUGAGAUAAAAUGUAUUUGAAAUUAUACAGUGUUAUGUAAAAUUAUAGUAAUUUAAAAGGUACCAUCACAUGCACCUUCAGUGGUUUGUUAUUACAAAGUUACAAAACGGUGUCACACUUACCAGCGUUAGAAUAGAUUUCAGAGCAAUUUGGAGCAAUUAAGAAUAACCUUGUAAAAGUAAAAGAAGCAAAAUAAAAUAUAGACAGGAGCCAUGACAGAUGUUGCAGAAUAGGGAGGGAUGUGGAGACAAUAAGCGCUGCUGUGAUGACCGCAGCCCUGGCAACACGCGUCACAGAUUAAAUCAUGAAUGCCAGUUCGUGGGCACAGAGAAGCGAGAACAGAGAGCCCAUUGUUUCAGCUCGUCCAUCUAAUUUCAAACCAAUUGCUCAAGUAAAGGCUUCUCUCUUGGUUAGGGCCAAUGGCAAAUUAAAGAGCUGAAAUAUUGCAAAUCUUGUAAUUCACCCUGAAUCACCAAUCAGAACUAAAUAAAAGAGCUUUGAGCACAGAAACGAAUUAAAUUCUUAGCCCUGCUUGCAAAUAGAAGCCUGGAGAGAAGUGCAACUCAGUCAUUUGGGUGGGCAGCCACUGCGCCCUGCUCUUGCAAUCAGGUUCUAGCUAGUGUGGCGUGGGGGAGGGGCUCUCAUCUCACUCUUCUGUGCCCAUGACCACAGCUCCAUGGAGUGGGGUGACAGGUCCCGCCAUCCGCUGCAGGACCGGCGCAGGGCGCAGUGCGGGGGCCCAGGAAGGGGAGUGUCUUCUUAGAUGGCAGCGUCUGCUGAUGUUCAAGACAUGUUUGGGUUCCUGCCUUUUCCUACUCUGGAUCACUGUAAUGAACUAAUGAGCGAAUACACGUGAAAGCACUUUUUUUUACACAAAUGAAGGGAUUACUGUUUCUAUAAUUUAGAGUGUGGAGUCAGGUGGUGGAAAGAGCGCAAAGUCAGAGGUCCUGGGUUUGCAUCCUAGCUUCGAGAGCCGGCUCCAUCUCAUACUAGGUCCGCCUUUUCCCAGUGCUGUUUUCAAGUGUUUUUCCUGUGCCUUUUGCUUUUCCCUUUCAUUUUAAUUAAUUAAUUAAUUAAUUAAUUUUGAGACAGAGUCUCACUUUGUCAUCCAGGCUGGAGUGCAGUGGUGCGAUCUCAGCUCACUGCAACCUCUGCCUCCUGGGUUCAAGCAAUUCUCCCACCUUAGCCUUUUGGGGCCUGCUGGGUAUCUAACCUCCCUGGAUGGCUCAGAGGACCUCAAACCCAGCCUUCUAUAGUGAAUUCCUUGGCUUGGGCAUCUCCCCACCCUGCCCCCACCAGCCUGCCCUUCCUCCUUGUCCCUAGCUCUGUGAAUGGCAUUAGCAACCACCACGUGGCUCUGGCCCCGAGCUGGCUUGACAAGGGAGCCAGUGAGCUCAUGUUGCUGCCAGGUUACUGCACAGCCUCCUUGAUACAGUUUGUGAAGGCAUACACUUGUACGUUUUACAGCACUGUCCGGUGCUGGAAUAUAUGAUUUCUUCUCACCCAACAAGGCCUCAUUCCUCCUACUUACCCUUUCAACAUGCAUAUCUGGUCACUUUCUGGUUUAGUAUUCCUUGGUGACACCUCUUUGCUCCAUGAUGUGACACGAGAGGACUCUGCCUUCCUCAUAGCGUUUUCUUCUGCUGGUCCCCGAGCCUUACUAAGGUUCCUGCAGGCAGUCCCUGCGAUGGCCCCCACCCCACUUACCCCUUUGCUUUGGCAGACUGAGCAAGUGCCCUCUGCCUGGGGACCCCUUCUCUUCCAUGUCGCCUCCAGGUCUCAGUUCUGCGGCUGCUUCUCUGGAAAGCCUUUGUGAGGACUGUUCACAGUACAUGCGUUGUCUAUUGUCCCCCCUCCCUCGCAUUUGACCAGGGCCUGGCAGGGUUUAAGUAGUAUGCACUCAGGAAGACAGAGUUACGAAAGUACAUGGCUAGCAGCACCGACCUGGGUUCUAAUCCCAGCUCUGUCUCUAACUGUGCGAUCUUGCCAGUGUACUUAUUACCCUUUGGAUACCUCAGUUUUCUGUCAUCUGUAAAACGGACAUAAUAGAGUGGGAAGGUUUAAAUGCGUUAACACUUAUAAAGCAUUUUAGAACCAAGCUUGGCUCAUCAUAAGAGCUUAAAUAAUAGCUGUCCUUAUUUAUUUUAGUAGUAGGACUCCACGGGCUCAUUUAAAAGUCAUAUUGUGCUGUACUCUUACUAUUGCUGGGGUUUUAUUAAGGAAUAUAGUGUAAUUUGGGGCCCACAACUUUUCAUCUUCAUUAAGGUUAAUAUCAGAUAUUCAUUUUAGUAGAAUUAAUUUAUAUGUGACAAAAGGAAAUAGUUUUUCCUGAAAGAUAAGAACAAUUCUGGGAAUACAGACAUACAGAAUCAUGGAGACACAGUCCCAACAGUAGUUUAUCUAGCCGAGUUGGAGAUUUAUUCACAUUUCUUCCAUUUCAAAGAUUGUGCUGGUCUCCCAGAAGCAUUUUUUGAAGCUCUUUGUGCAGAAGAGAGAUCAAUAUUAUUUAUCAGAGGCCUUCCUUGGCCAUGCAAAUCAUCAUGUAUGUUUGCAAACCAGAGCCACGUAAAAGAGAUGGUUUUGAAUAUGAUUACUUUUGUUUUGCAUGAGCGUUUUUAUAUCCUCUAGAAAUCUUUCACUCUUGUGGGGACACAGUUUAAUAAUCUUUAAUGACAUGUUGUAUGUGACAUUAAUGUGCUCACAUAGCUGAUGCUUCCCUGUUUUUCUUCCAACAUCAGAGUAGUAACAUUUCCCCCGAGGUUUGCUCAGGCCGUCCAGCCUUCUCUUGCUUUUGCCAGCAGGGGGGGCACGAGCUCCUUUGAAAGUCAGCACAUGUCUUCAGGCUGGUUUUUUCUUCCAGAGGUGGAGUGGAUUGUCUUGCCCACUCCUUCUAAAGUGACCCCAUGAGAUCCUGUCGAGCCCUGAUCUGGAAGUGGGUAGAGGAGAUGGGCACGGUGUGUGUUAGAUCUAAAAUAGCCUCCAGGAUUGUCGUGGCUGAAUUUGUUAAGCUAAUGGCUUAUAUUUCAUAGGUUUUGAGUAACUUGAAUUUUACCAGAAAUUCAUGUAAAUCAAUUUGGCAACAGGUGAAUCAAAUUUUACUUGGCAUAUUUAGUCCAAUCUUAUGGCUUAGGAAAAGCAAGGUUCAGAAACCUUGACCCUUAUGUUAAGGUAAGUCUUAUUAUUAAACAAAACACAAAUCAUGGCAACAAGCUGUUAGAAUUAAAACUGUUCUUGGAGUUGAAAACUAGGGGAAAAUAUAUACUGUGAGCACAUUGUGUAAAAAGCUAAGCAUAGAUUCUUAAUCCUUUUUUUUUUUUUUGAGUCGAGUCUCACUCUUGUUGCCUAGGCUGGAGUGCAGUGGCGUGAUCUCUGCUCACUGCAACUCUACCUCCCAGGUUCAAGCACUUCCCUUGCCUCAGCCUCCUGAGUAGCUGGGACUACUGGUGCGCGCCACGCUGCCUGGCUAAUUUUUUGUAUUUUUAGUAGAGACGGGGAUUCACCGUGUUGGCCAAGAUGGUCUUGAUUUCCUGACCUCAUGAUCCAUCUGCCUCAGCCUCCCAAAGUGCUGGGAUUACAGGCGUGAGCUACCAUGCCUGACUCCAGAUUCUUAUUCUUUCUUAAGCAAUAUGCUAGAACAUACUGACUGCUUUAAGAUUUAACUGCUUUAAGAAAUUGAUCAACAUUUUACUAGAAUGAAAAAUAAGUUUAAUUUUUUGCUAUGAAAUUAUAGUGAGUGGUAUUAAGUUCCAUUUUAAAAGGCAACUAAAAGAUCCAUGUUAAAAGACAUGUCGUAGCUUAUAAAUCUGUUCUAAAUGUCGGUGGUGCAACUGAAUUAUAAGAAUGUUUUUAAGAUUUACAGACACUAAGAAUCAGAAAUUAGAAGGUUCUUUGACAAAUUUUUCUUUUGAAUUUAAAAUUAAUCUUUGGGUUCGAUGAGGUUUUUAAGCUUAUUCAGUGUUAUCUGGAAAUAGUAAUCGUAUCUACAUUUGAUUAUCAGAAAUGAUGACUUCAAAUGUCCCUCUUCUGCAGUGUGAAAUGACACUGCUAUAUGUUCCACAACUGCCACCCAACUUGGACAACAUCAAAGUCAUCUCAUGGCCCUAAUGGAGGGCAGACUGUACUCCCUUGUUCAAAAUAAAUCAGUCACUUGAAGGCAGUGUCUGAUGGGAGAGAAGGGAGUAAGAGUUCUCUUUGUUUUAACUUUGUGUUAUGGUUUUCUUGGGCAGCAAGUACAAAAGUGCAGCUCGAAGCUGUAGCUCAUUCUGUUUGUGGGUUUUAUUUCUCACAGCAGUCCAGUGUCUAUUUAACAUAACGGGGAGUGGUUUCAAGUUCAUUACUAAAGCUUAUAGGCUAAAGUGCUUUGUGGGCUUGGCUAUGACUUAAGUCGCUUUGGGGAGUCAGCCAAAACUGGGCUUGGGAACAGGAAGGCUUUCCCCGUUUAUUUGGAUUCUCAAGGUAGUCCGUUUUGCCCCCUCUCGGCUAUCAGCUGCUUUGGAGAUUGUUUUCGCAGUAAGGAUUCUUUCUUUAAAGGGAUAUGGAGCGACUACUUUCACAGGGGCACCAGAGACUGGGUUUUGCCAUGUUUCCCAGGCUGGUCUCCAACUCCGGGGCUCAAGCAAUUCGCCUGCCUCAUCCUCCUAAAGUGCUGGAAUUACAAGCAUGAACCACAUUGCCUGGCCCUGUCUCUUUCUUAUCAUUACUUUCUUUGUGUCCUCGCACUAAAUCUUCUGGGGCUAAGUAUGAUUUUUAUCCGCAGUGGAUUUUAUUUUUUUAAACGUUAAGCAGAGGGGGGAUUGUGCCCGAGCUGGUGUUGUCCUCCCACGCCACACUUGUGCACUCUUGUCUGAUGCACGGUUUUUCCUCGGGCCUACUCCUUGGAGUUACAGUGAACCAGAAUAUCAUUUUCAUUUUCUCUUUGAAAAGUCUGGCACUUUUCUGGAAUGCCCCAUAAGAUACUGGCAUAAGAAUUGAUUCAGGCAGAGUGUACAGCUGGAUUAAGCCUGACUGAAUCCCGUCUUCAGUUUUGCUGUUUUUAUUUUCAAGUGAUUCUUCAGAAUACGAGAUUACCUUAUCAUUAAAGAACAGCUAUAAAAAUGCAGUGUGACUUGUAAAACAUAAACGUAUUGUUAACAGUAAUUAAGAAAUUAAGUCAGUAUAAUUAAGCACAGAGGAAGACACUGUCUUUAUUAAUCUCAUUGAUUUAAAGAUCUAAAGAGCAAUUCUGCCUCUGUUAAUUUGCCACCAAAGCAAUCUGGCAUGAACUUGUUCUAUAGGAGUAAGUAGUUCAAUUUGGUGUUUUAAAGUUAGCAACACUUUAUGGAAUAUAGUUUCUCUUGCUUUUUUGUUAUUUUAAGUAUUCUUUAGUUCAGGGUAAUGUAGUAGUGUUUUAAAAUAUGCUAAUAAUGCUUCUGUUAUUGCAAUUUUAUUCUCCUUUUUUCCCCACUGGGAAAUACAGUGUAUUAGAAAGGGUCUAUUCUUUCAUGUUCUUCUCUGCUUAAAAAAAAAAAAAAAACGAGGGAGAAGGGAGACAGAAAUAGAUACUUACGAAAGUUCUUUGAGGUGAUAUGCUAAACUUUGAGGCUACCUUUUCCGUGAGUGCUAAGUUGAAGUUAUAUGUUUUGGCUGCAUGCCAUUUAUACAAAAUUGACUAUAUUUUAUACUGCAAAGACACAACUGUACAGCUGUGUUAUUGCCUCUGCCUCUGCAGAUACCUUCUUUGAGAGGAAGUUUAUUAUGUCAUUUUAGCUUUCCCAGAAGUGCAAAGAUUACUAAGACUUUGCUUAGUUUUAUAUAUAUAUGCACAUACAUGCCAUAUAUUUCCUAUUACUGCACAUACAUGCUAUUGUGCAAUUAUUAAUUAUUAAAUGGUAUUAACUGACAUUUGAAGGAAUGACUUGUCCACCCGAUUGUAGCUGCCUGAUGAUUUUAUUCAUUGAUUACAGGUUUGUGUUUGAUGCGUACAGACAAAGGUCUUUAAAAGCUUAACAUAAAACUCAUUUGUAUCUUGGAGAUCUCAGUUUCUGUGUUCCCAAGUGCUUCAUAGCUUCUCAUCUAGAGAUAGUAAAAAAGCAAAGACCUUUGAUUAAAAACGAAAAUAAUGUGGCAAAGGAUUGGCUAACAAAGAAACUGCCUGAAACCCAGAUUUUAGGGUUUUUCCAGAGAGUAUACACAUUAAAACGUUUCCUCCAAAUGUGGGAGAAAAAAAAAAGGACUGCUCAGUAGAAGUUCAGAAUCUGUAAAUUUGAGAUGAAGUGUCUAAGCAAAGCUUCAAUUAUUCCUGAUUCGAGGUUUGGAACACACAUUGCAUUUUCGUUCUCAUCCUGCCGGACUGGCUUAAUUUUGUUACAUCUGGGUCUUUUGGCCAAUAAGACAUGGGCAUUUAUCUCAUAACAUCCAUCUGAUCUUCAGCUGAGCUUUGUGCUGAUUAAUUUUUAUCCAGCAUGCUUUCUUGUUGAUAUUCAAAGUGAUUUAGAUGUCUCACAUAUCUCCUAUGGUUUAUGAACUUAGCUAUGACCCAGCAGCGUGUGAUACCUAUUUUCUUAUAAAAUGAAUCUGAGUGCUGUCUUUGGCAGCACUUAUACUCAAAUUGGAACGAUACAGAGAAGAUUAGCAUGGCCCCUGCACAAGGACGACUUGCAAAUUUGUGAAGCAUUCCAUAUUUUUAAAGAAUUAUAAAUCGAUAUAAAGACACAUGCACACGUAUGUUCAUUGUGGCACUAUUUACAAUAGCAAAGAUUUGGAACCAACCCGAAUGCCCAUCAAAGAUAGACUCGAUAAAGAAAAUAUGGCACAUAUUCACCAUGGAAUACUAUACAGCCAUAAAAAAGGAUGAGUUCAUGACUUUUGCAGGGAUGUGGAUGAAUCUGGAAACCAUCAUUCUCAGCAAACUGACACAAGAGCAGAAAACUAAAUACCACAUGUUCUCACUUAUGGGUGUUGAACAAUGAGAGCAUGUGGACCCAGGGAGGGGAACAUCACACACUGGGGUCUGCUAGGGGUUGGGGGGCUAGGGGAGAAAUAGCAGGGGGUGGGGAGACUGGGAAGGGAUAACAUUAGGAGAAAUACCUAAUGUAGUUGAUGGGGGGACGGAGGCAGCAAACCACCAUGGCAUGUGUAUACCUAUGUAACAGUCCUUCAAGAUCUGCACAUGUACCCCAGAAUUUAAAGUAAAAUUAAAAAAAAGUGAAUCUGAGUUUCAAACUUGGAGGUAAAUCCUUAGGUAAACUUUUAAAACUUGAAUUGGCUACGCCCCAAAUGUUGAGGAAGUUGCGUGGCAGUAGGAGAUCAGGAGGCUGAGGAAGGAAUUGAAGGACUAGGAGUAGUGUUGGUAUUAGAGGUGAAUGUUCUGACUGCAAACCUCAGUGGAUUUUCACCUGAUGGACCAGUUCCCUUCACACCGCAGAUCACGCCUUGUUCCUGUGUAAUCACACAUAGUCUUAAUCUUUGCAGCACGUGGUUUGGGAAGUGUAGGCUUUUGAUAUGCAGUUCAUAGCCUUGUCAGCUUCACGUAAUGACUGAAACGAACAGUGCCACAUCUGCCUUUCCAUGCCUUACCUUCUGGUUCUUGCCCUCCUCGAGAACCAGGUGCUUGUGUGCACAUAGGUCUUAUGGUUAUGUAUCAGAAAAUGUGGGAGAUGGUGAUGCCACCCACCCUGGAAAUUCACUAUUUUAGUAAUGUCAGUAAAUACUUACCUUCCCAGAGGGAUUGCAAAAGCUGAGGACAGAGUAUACUCCUGGAGCUGAUCUGACCACAGAGCUCCCCAGUUACCUGUUUCUUUCUGAAAGUCCCAAUUUAAUCUUGACCUGGCAUUUUGGGGUAGAGAAGCGGUGAUGGUAUAAUAGUCAUAGCAGAAGUGGCAGAAUAGUGGCAAUAACAAUAAUAAUAAUAAUAAUGAACACUCAGCAGACAUUUCCUAAGUGCAAUCGCUGUUCUAAGCCUUUUUUUUUCUGAGGCAGAGUCUCAUUCUGUUACCCGGGCUGGAGUGCAGCGGCAUGAUCACUGCUCCCUGCAACCUCAAACUCGUGGUCUUAGUUAACCUCCCACCUUGGCUUCCCAAAAUGCUGGGAUUACAGGCAUGAGCCACCAUGCCUGGCCUGCUCUAAGCCUUUUACUUCGUCCUCACAACAACCUUAAGUGGUCGAUUUUAUUAUCUCCAUUUUACAGUUGAGGAAGCUCUCCAAGAAAGUUAGGUUGACCCAAGUCAGAGCAACUAGUAAGUAGCAGUGACAGUGUUGUGCAUUAGAGAGUGCUGUGGAGGGGGAAACGGAAAAUAUAAUCCAGUAUUACAAAACUGUAAGGAAAAAAUAUAAUCCAAUACAUUUCGGAUUACACUAUAUCCAAUAUAAUCCAGUAUUUAUUAUUGAGAUAUUGACAUCUGUGCUGCUCUUCCUUUCGAAGAUGCUCCGUUGACCUUCUGUCAACAAGCAAGGGAAGCUGUUUGUGUCCUUUCUCUACUUAGGUUGGGGUGAGCUUGUGCUCUGCCUUCUCACUCACUCUGCUCAUGACCAGUGGCAAGAACCUGGAGACCGAUGGCAGUAUAAAGAGGUUGCGCAUGGUCCGUAAAUGAAAACAGUAGGGACCAGUCAACAUGGAGAAUAGCCCUCUGCAUUGAAUACUGUAUUUUAACUACUUAAGCUACUCUUGGGAUUUUAGAGACUUUUUAAGGCUAAAAUAAUAAAACCACUAAAGCUAGGAACUUGGACUUUCUGAUUGUUUAGCUUUAAUAUGGCCUGUAUGAGUGUCCUCUUUAUUUCUGCCCACUAUACUUCCUGCUAGCAAUCAAAGCUGUGGUGAUUUUGUCAGUCUUGAAGGUUUUCUUAAGCUUAAUGGAUAACCAAGAUUAUGAGACAUGUAUUUUUUUAAAGACAUAAAUGUGCAUUUGAAAAUAUUGAGCAAGGGCUAGGCGUGGUGGCUCACGCCUGUAAUCCCAGCACUUUGGGAGGCCGAGGUGGGUGGAUCAUGAGGUCAAGAGAUCGAGACCAUCCUGAUCAACAUGGUGAAACCCCGUCUCUACUAAAAAUACAAAAAAUUAGCUGGGCAUGGUGGUGUGUGCCUGUAAUCCCAGCUACUCAGGAGGCUGAGGCAGGAGAAUUGCCUGAACCCAGGAGGUGAAGGUUGCGGUGAGCCAAGAUCGCGCCAUUGCACUCCAGCCUGGGUAACAAGAGCGAAACUCUGCCUCAAAAAACAAAAAUAUUGAGCAAACAACUUCUACCCAAUUUGGCUAAAAUGUAAACGUGAUGAAUAAGUUUGGAAUGUAUAGGAAUAUAGAACAAUACAGCCCAGACAGAUUAAGGAGCUAACUUAAAAGAAACCAAACAAUAAAACUUCUGAUCUGUGAAUGGGUAAGCACUUUCUCUUCCCAAAAUCAAUAGAGGAAAUCACAAAAGGAAAAAGUCAAUCAAUUUAAAUUUUUUAGGUAGGAGUGUAGAAGCUUUGAAUAUAAAAAUGUUAAUUGAAGGAUUAUUUAUUACCAUGAAAAGCUGCAAAUAAUAAAACAUAGGGUAGCAGAAGAAAAUGGCAUGGUAGACCAUUACAAUUUUAUUUAUGGAAAACUGUCAUAGGAGGAAAUGGUGGUGACAGACCUUUAAACUAUCUAUUAAACUAUCUAUACACCACACAUGUGAAUGUGUUUAAAAUAGACCUCUCUAUGUGUGUGUGUUCUGCUUACAGAGACAACGGAAAGCGAGAUCGCCUUAAGUUAACAGGGAUUUGGGGGUUAGUUUGAAGGUGGGAUAAAUCUGAUGAUUUAUAUUUUCUUCUUACACACUUUUCUACAUAUUGGUAUUUUUAAACAUGAUUACUUUAUAUCAUUUAUAAAAGGGAAAAACUAUUCAUGGAGAAAAGAAUGAGAAUAUACCAACAUUUAAUAGUGGAAAUAGACUAACAUUACUCUUAAUCUGUGAAGGUAAUAGCUCUAAGACUGAUUUUAAUUUUCUCAAAUUUUUACAUAUUUAAGGUUUUCUUAAAUAAUAAUUAUUUUUCUAAUGAAAGUUAAAAUCAAUUAGAAGUGACAGUUUAGAGUUGACGUGAAAUGUGACAGGUUAGAGUUGAGGCGAAAUGAACUUUUAUAAAGGACAGGAUCCGUUUACUUUGGAGAACAAUUAUGUUUCUGCCCUUAUACAUCAUGUUAGGAAACAUACCUUUUUGACUUUUCUGUGUCAGGCUUAUAAUUUUAGUUAGGUUUUACAGUUAAUUAAAUUAUAAAGUUGAUAGUUUAGUUAAUAAAGGAUAUGGAAGAAGUUCACUGAAAUACUUGAAACAUCAGUCCAGGAAAGAUCCUUUGAGGGAUUUUCAAUAUAUCCAGAUGUCCGGAUAAUAAUUCUUUGGUCUAAGCGCAGUUGGUGAUGUGAUCAGGGACACAUCACCAUACCAGGGCAUACCAGGGCAGUCCUUAGUAGGGACGAUUUCACUGGAAUGCUGAAGGCAGAAGAAAACCUUAGAGUAGCUGGCUUCAUUCUUCCCCCUCCUCAUUUGAUAGAUCAAGUCACUGAAGCCCAAAAUGAUUGUCCUCAAGGCUACAAAGUUGUAGUAGAUUCGAAUGGGGGUUUUUGAGGUCCUUUGACUCCCCAUUUGCUACUCUUUAUAAUAUUCUGCUCAUUUUCACACACUGUAGUAAUGAUGAAUGAAACCAUAUUUCCAUUUAUCGUAGGUUGGUAAAAAGAAAAAGCUAAUGCAUUCGGCACUUACUUAAUGAUAGAGAAAGAGGCGGUAGGCUGAUAACGCCUCCUGAGGAAGACCUACCAACUUCACAUGCUCAUUAUUCUCACCAUGCUACUGGAACAUUUUGUUCUUAGGCACAAGGCUACUUUACACACAUCUGGUUUCUGUGUUUGCUCUGGAAGACAUGAGCCACCUGGAGUGACUAGAGAACACUUGAUACUGAGCCGUGAGAAUUGUUUUUUACAGCUUUAUUGAUAUUGUAUAAUUUACAGAUCAUAAAGUUAAGCCCUUUGAACUAUACAAUUCAUUGGUUUUUCAGAUAUCCACAGAGUUGCGUGACCAUAACUAUCAUCCAUUUUUUGAACAUUUUCAUUACUCCAAAAAGAAACUUUGUACCCAUCCUCCCUGCCUCCCUCUUCUCCUCCCCUAGCUCCAGGUACCUGUUAUUCUACUUUCUUCCUUUUUCUUCCUCCCUUCCCCUCCUCUCCCUUCCCCUCCCUUCCCCUCCCCUCCCCUCCCCUCCCCUCCCCGCCCCUCCCCUCCCCUCCCUUCCCCUCCCCUCCCCUCCCCUCCCCUCCUCUCCCUUCCCCUCCCCUCCCCUCCCCUCCCCUCCCUUCUUUUUUCUUUCCCCAUUUUGAACAUCUCAUCUGAGUGGAAUCAUACAAUAUGCGAGAAUCCUGAACAUUUUGAUUUGAUUUUCAAAGACCACGUAGGCAAACACGACGUGGUUACUCUGCAGGCCUCGUCUUCCCGGCAGCGUCCUGAGUAUGAGAUGAAAACCAAAUGAACUCUGUCAGUGCUGUCAAUUAUUUUAUUAGAUUAAAUGACUUGUUUUUGGCCUCUGGAGUGUCUAACUCUUCAACUUUUCAAAGUUAGAUAAAAGUACAUACUCAUUAAUAUGAGUCUGUUGUAGGCCAUGUUGCAAAAUUUCUGGGUGAGACCAUUGCUUAUUAGCUCUGACCUUGAGCAAAUUACUUGACUUCUCUAAGACGCAACUUCCUUAUCUAUAAAAUGCGGAUAAUAGUAUUACUUAUCUUAGAGGGUUCUUGCAAGAAUUAAAUGAAAUAAUGUAUAGAAAAAGCUUAUAAUACCCAAUAGAUUAUAAGUGUUAAAUGAAUAUUAGCAAUUAUUAUGUGUCAUUGAAAAUAAACUGUAGACCAGGUGCGGUAGCUCAUGCCUGUAAUCUCAGUACUUUGGGAGCCUAGACAAGAGGAUCACUUGCGCCCAUGAGUUUCAGUCCUCUGUGGGCAACACAGAGAAACUCCAUCUCUACUAAAAACAUAAAUAAAAUUAGCCGGAUGUGGUGGCAUGUGACUAUCGUCCCAGCUACUUGGGAGGCUGAGGUGGCUGCGUUGCUUGAACCUAGGAGCUCAAGGCUACAGUGAGCUUUGAUCACUCAUUUUAGUAAUGGGAAAUGAAAUUAUAUUUCCAUUUCUCCUAGGUACGUAAAAACUAAAAGCUAAUGCCAUUCAGCACUUACCUAGUGAUGUUGGAGAAAGAGGUGUUAGGCUGAUUACUGCUUGCUAGGAAGACCUGUCAACUUCAUCAGCAUAGAGACAGAGUGAGACUCUAUCUCAAAAAAAAAAAAAAAAAAAAAAAAAGGAAAAAAGAAAUAGAAUAAGCUGUAGAAUGUUAUUUUAUUCUAUUUUUAUGCUAUAGUAAUUAUUUGAAUUGGCUUGCAGGAAUCUUCACACAACAUUAAACAUAUACACAUUCAUACAAGAAUAAAACAUUAAAAUCAGGUAUCAGGAAUAAUUGUGUUAGUAGAAAGAUAAUAUCAGAGGAAAUAAUAAUAAUAGUAAUGAUAGCCAACAUGUAUAUAGCAGGUUCUCUUUUCUUUUCUCUCCCUUCCCUCUUCCCUCUCCUCUCUUCUCUUCUGUUUUAGAGACUGAGUAUUGCUCUAUUGCUCAGGCUGGAGUGCAGUAGUGUCAUCAAACUUCACCACAGCCUUGACCUGCUGGGCUCAAACUGUUCUCCUACCUCAGCCUCUCCAGUAGCUAGGACUCAGGUGUGAGCCACCAUCCCUGGUCUAUAGCAGGGUUUUAAUAAACCUUUCUUUCAGUGUCUUUCCUUGUGAGUUGAAGGAAUAAUGCCAAAUCAUAAAUGAACAGAGACAACCAAUGAGAGCCCCAGGCUGGGAAAACCUUCGAUGGUUUCUAGUCUCCACUCACACUGGUGCACGAGACUUCGCCAUAGAUGACAGUCUGGUGUGGUGUGCUGAUGGAACUCAGAGUGAGAGUGAGUUCACCAGCUCACACUUUGAAUAGCUAUUAUUUAUAUGUAUCUUAAGCACUUACUAGGAGCUAAGCUAGAAUUAGAAUCCAAAAUGACUCCAAAUCUACAUAAUCAGGAUGUAAAAUUGCUUCUUACCAGUUUUCCUGUUAAUAGUUCUGUUUUACAGAGUGCUCUCACACAUGUUAAACUGAAAUUUACACUCUUGUAGCCACCCCCUCACCCUCCUGAGUCUCAUAGUAUCUUCUACAUGGAGAACCAAAUUCCUAAUCAGAUAGUGCUUCAGGUGUCUGAAAACAAUUAUCAUGGCCUUCAUCUACCUCACUUUCUUGCUCAGACAUCCAGAGAUACAUAUAUUGUUUCUUAGAUGACACAGUCCAACCCACCAUACCUCUUCCUCUUUCCUGGAAUGGGCUUUCCACUCACAUGGACUCUGAAGUGGUUUUCAAGAUUCCUGUCCUGGGAGCUUUACCAGCAGCAACCUCCCCAAUGCCCAGAUGUUGAGUAGCUCCUCCUCUGGGUUCCCGCUACACUUCUGUUCACAUGCGAGAAUUCACUGUGUCCUUCCCUGGCCUGUGAGCCCCUGAGGGAGAGCUUUGUUUAUCUUUCCGUUCUAAACCCCAUCCUAGCCCCUGACACUUAGUAACUUCUCAAUACAGUGGAAGAGAGAACCUGAUCUUACUUCAUGUGGACACCUAACUAUAUCUGGUUUUAGAGAGGUUGCAACUAUAAGAAACGUUUUUGGAUAGGAAAUGUGUAGGCAACCCUUGAUUAACGGAGGGCUGAGGAAGAUAACCAAAAAGCCCGUGGCUUCUCCUAGACCAAAAGUAAGUAGCAUCAUCUAGGGAAGAAGACUGGGAAGGCUUUUCUCUUGGUUACUGCACCAUUCAUUUUCACUUGGUGAAAGUGUCCACUAACAUCCUGAUGUAAGUAAGGUGAUUGUCUGUUGGACAGGGUUGAUAUCCACCACCUUUGCUCAGAGAAAUGUAGAUAACAUUGGCCUCUAUCUAACAUAUGGUUGAAUGACAAAGUUCACAGUAAACUUGAUACCGGUGUUCAGAUGAAUGCUGAUAAGAAGAUACAGUCCAAAGUUAUGUUUCUGUUUUAAUAAGAGACCUUUGCAGUUUUCAUGGAGUAUGUAUAGAGAUAGUUUCUUAAUGUGUGGAUAGGGGGUUAAUUUAAGGAAAAGCAGCCCGGUGCGGAGGCUCACACCUGUAAAAGCACUUUGGGAGGCUGAAGCAGGCAGAUUACCUGAGGUCAGGAGUUUGAAACUGGCCCAACCAACAUGGAGAAACCCUGUCUCUACUAAAAAUACAAAAAUUAUCCAGGCAUGGUGGUUGGUGCCUGUAAUCCCAGCUACUUGGGAGGCUGAGGCAGGAGAAUCGCUUGAAACUGGGAGGUGAAGGUUGCAGUGAGCCAAGAUCACGCCGUUGCCCUCCAGCCUGGGCAACAGGAGUGAAACUCCAUCUCACAAAAAGAAAAAAGAAAGAAGAAAAAGUGUGUUAACUGUGGAAACAAAGGGACUGGCCUAUAUCUAAAGGAAAGAAAACAGAUCUCACUCAGGGUUUGUUGUGAUUGAUAAAAAAUGGUCCACAUCUUAAAUGGAUUAAUUAUGGGUCCAACUGGAACAUUCUACACAGAAUGAGCCCAGGUGCUGGUUGUUUUGUCUGGGAGUCUCAGGACUUACCACGUGCCUACUCUGAGCACUAGACUUAAUACUUUCCCACUCUGUAAAUCCUAGGAGGCACAGCUUCUUGACACCUGGGUUUGAAUUUGCCAGGCUUCAACAUCCAACUUGAGUCUGCCUCCCUUGUGCAUGGUUACAGCACCAGACACCCCAGUGAAACCAUCUUCUUCUUUUUGCUGUUUGCUGGUUUUUCCAGCAAAGGAGGUCUGGCCUAGGUGUAAAGGAGGAAGAGGCUGAUGUGGAAUUCUGAAGUUGAGGUAGAUGCCAGGGUGCGUUUUCUGAGACCAAGAAGGAGGCUCCUCUGGAAAGCGCUGGCUCUUGGGAACUCGGGCUGAUGGAGCAUCUCCCUUUUUUAGGAAGCUCUGCAUUUUCAAAGGCCUUUUAACUGUUGGAUGGCUUGAUACAUUAGAAAGUUAGUAACUUGCCAUGGUCUGUAGAAGGGGGAUCCAGACCCUGCUUUGCCUGACUAUAAGUGUGUUCCUACCCCUUGCUCUGGUCCUUCCCAAGUAGCCCUCCUGUGAAAUUGGCUGAUCCAAAAUUCCCAGGGCUUUCUCACAAGAAUAGCUGUUAGUCCAGGUGACUGCCGGCCUAUACAUGUAUAUGUGUGUUUAAACUUAAAUGAGGAUGUAUACAUUUAUCUUAUUCAAUUUUGUUUAGCAGGGAACAACUUUGUGUAUGUCCCUUUUCCCAUAUUUUUACAGUGUGAUUACCAGAUCAAAAAGUAUAGAUGCUUCUGUUGCUCUUCAAACAUCCUACUAAAUUUUGCCUGAGAAUGGUGUCUCCAUUAAUAAUGUCACCAGCAAGAGCUUGGUUUAGCACAAUAGUGACUAGUUUUUAUUACAAUCCAUUGCUGCUCUCAUUUGGGCUUGGAACUUGGGUCUCUUGUGGAAACUCAUGCAUUUGAUUCUCUCCUGGAGUUCCUCAAGUCCCCGUUAAGCCCCAUCACUGAGGCUGACUCAGGCUAGUGAGUUACCCGCCAGUGCUCCUUUGGUGAUUGACAAAUGCCUCCAGGUUGCAGUGGCCUCUGGAUUCCUCCUUGAGCCAGACCCUUUGGGGCUGCACUGCCCCAGACUUUGCUCUGCUUGCCUCUCAUCCUUUUACUGUCAGCCUGCUCACUUCUUUCCUUUUCCUUCAUUGUAAAAUCCUGAGUUAUUUUAGGCAGUUUAUAGAAAAUCUCUGAAACUAGAGGAUGUCUCAUGACAGUGGCAGAGUAAGAGUGUUGAGAAUUAAAAGCUAUUCUUUUUAUAGAACCACGGUGGUUGAAGGAGGGAUGUCUUGCAAACUUUUUAAUACCUGGAUGAUUAAUUAGCAAGAAAUCCAUUCUAAUUGUUCUCAUUAUCACUAGAUGAAGGCAGGGAAAGUGACAGCAGAAAGUGUGAAGAAUGUAUAAUUGAAGGCAUUAAGGAAAAGAACCCACCUAGUAGAUUUUAAAUCACAAAAAGGAUGAAACUUAAUAAAAGAAAGAAUUUCUACCUGUAUACUGUGUCAUUCUCUUAGUUCUAGCAAGUGUAGAUUUGUAAAUCAUGUAAUUAAAAAAUUAAAUGUAAUUUAUUUUAAAAAUGAGAAUAAAGAAAAAAGUCAAAUACACAUCUUGGCGUCUACUGAAACCCCUUUCAUUAUUUGUAUGACUUGUAUAGGUGGAGUUAUCAGGGUUCGAGAACGCUAUUUAAACGAGUAAGAAAUAUUGAGCAAAACGGACUCCAUCAGAUGCUUCCUUAAAUCCCAACUCACAGUCCAGCAUCACUCAAAUCUCUCGUGAGAGGACAGCUACUAUCUUGAAACUCUCAGCCAAAAAUGCAGGCCACCUUCUGCCUGAAUAAGGCAUGCCACUUAAAACCAUAAACCCUACUGAAAAAACUCAUUUAGAUCCAUUUUAAGCUUUAGUGUUGCAUACGUGCUAAGCAAAAUUGUGUUAAUAUUUAAAAGGAAAAAGUGACCUUGACAAGAAGCAGCUUCUGGAUUGUGAAGGAAGGUGGUCCUAUCAAUCCACAGGGCAGCUUUACUAUGCUUGAUGAGUGAUUCAGUAUUUGCCAAAGUCUCAAUGUAUUUUCAAUGGCUACAUGAUACAUGCUUCUAAAGACAGGUUUGGAAAUUUCAGAGGAGAGUAGAGCGCUAGAUACACUGCCUAUAGGUUCAGUUAUUGCUUCUGUCAUUUUCUCUGGGGAUCUUCCUAGGUCCUUUAUAAAUAUCAUAUGCCACUAUCCAGGAGAAGGAAGGUCCUGGGGCAGCCAUAACCAGUUGGUUUUGUCCUCUCUGGGCACAACGCUUCUGUCAUAUUUUCCUUCUUGGACAUUUCUUCCUUCUGUCAUGAAGGAAGUGUAUUACUUUGGCGCUAGCCUAAAUCAGUGUUUCGGAAGCUGAUAUGCACAUGGCUUUCUUGGAUGUCUUGUUAAAAUGCAGAUUCUGUUUCUGGAAUAUGACCAAGGUUCUGCAUUUCCAAGAAGCUCCUGGGUGAUGCCUAUGUGGCUAGUCCAUGGACCACACUCUCAGUAGCAAGGAUCUCUGGGUUUCUAUUGUCAACAGUCCCAGAGAGACAGACUGGGGGGGAAAGGUGAGCAAUAAAACAGACGUUAAAUGGCAGAGCAACAUUUGUUCAUUGAUUACUGUGAUUACUUUGGCCAGUGUUCAAUUACGUUCAAAGAGGCAGCAGUGCACAUUGAUUAAGAACUUGGGCCGUGUAAUCGUCUUUCUGCCAUCCACCAGCUGAGUCAUGUGAACACAAGACCAGUCUCUCUCAACCUCAGUUGCUGAAGUUGUGACACACAAAUAAUAUAAAAAUGUACUUUAUAGGGUUAUUGUGAUGAUUAGGUAAUAUAAUGCGUAUGCUUAAUGUGUGCUUGCUAACUGUUAGUUGUGUUUAUUGAACAUGCCUUGCAUAUUAAGGUAGGGACAGAAAGAUUAAAAGCCAACUCUUUAAUUUCAGAGAUUUAAUUGGUUUAUUUCGAAGUUCCAGAGUUGAGGUAAGAUCUAAAACUUUUGACUCCAGGGCCAGUGCCCUUUCUGUCUGCAUGCUCAUUGGCUAUUUCUUAUAUUGGGUUUCGGACCAGCUUUAAUUAGGUAAAACUCAUGUGCUGAAUCAUAGUGAAUUGAACGCGUGCUGACUUUUAAGGCCAGGUGAUUUAACAUUUGGUGCCUGUGUUUAAGUGAGGUAUUUCUGAGGAUGGGAGUUAAAGGGCAGGUUUUUGUUUUGUUUUGUUUUUAUCAGCUGAUUUCUUGGGCAACUAGAACUGAAUGAUAUCAAAGGCAGGUAUAAUCAAUUUUUAUUCUGGUGGAGCAAAUUCUGAGCAUAUACUUGCUUUCCACUUUUGGCAUCUAUCUUUUUUUUUUUUCGAGACGGAGUUUCGCUCUUGUUACCCAGGCUGGAGUGCAAUGGCACGAUCUCGGCUCACCACAACCUCCUCCUCCUGGGUUCAAGCCUCAGCCUCCUGAGUAGCUGGGAUUACAGGCACGCACCACCAUGCCCAGCUAAUUUUUGUAUUUUUAGUAGAGACGGGGUUUCACCUUGUUGACCAGGAUGGUCUCGAUCUCUUGACCUCGUGAUCCACCCACCUCGGCCUCCCAAAGUGCUGCGAUUAUAAGCGUGAGCCACUGCACCUGGCCGGCAUCUAUCAAAGUGAUUUCAAAAGGACUCUGUUUUUAUAUGCGCUAACAUGUUUUUCUAAUAGAGACUGAAAACUUUGCACCCUUCGUCUUUUGCAACAAUUGCCUGUCAUUGAGUGCAUGUGUGCCUUUGAGGAGCUGGGUAUCCCUGCUUUGUGUCCGUGUUUUGUGCAUUCUGUGGAACCCUGUCUUAAAAAGGAAAUGACCACUGACCCAGGAUUUCUCUUUUCUUUAUCAAAUUGUUUUUUCUAGUUACUGAGCCUUGCGCUUUUUCUGAACUUAUAAUAGUCUUCUUUGUGAUAUGUACUUUUGUAGUUUUUGAAAGGCAAUAAUUCCCAGUAUGAUUUUUGUGUUUGUGAAAAUGUAAUUAUCUCACUGAGCAGAGUCUUCAGAAGGUAACAGUGGAAUUAAAGUAAUAUUCAAUAUGGACGUUGAUAGAUUGCUUUCUUUAAGUUGUUUUGACAUCUUUUUCCCUUUUUAUUUUAGAUAUAAGCCAUUUGUCUAUUUUUGUUAUAAGAAAUGUAAAAAUAAUUUUUGUCCCCGGUUUUUCUGCUGUGGGAUCAAGGAAAAUUACUUCCUCUUUCUUUGGAUACUGAUUGAUUUUUACAACUCUGCUUAUUAUUCCUAUGCCAUUGCUGAUUUUAAAAAAUCUGUAUUGGGAUAUAAUUUAUAAACCAUGAAAUUCACCCAUUUAAAGUGAACAAUUCAAGGUUUUUAGUAUAUUGAUGGAAUUCUCUAUGCAGAUUUUCGCUAGCACAUUUUUUCUUUCUUUUUCCACUCUGUAUGCUUAAGGUUCUCUGUAUUAACAUUUCUUUAAUGAAUUUUGCCACUAUUUAUAGUUUUGGGCAGAUGUAAAUACUGUAACAAUGACUUUUUAAAAGCUACUAACUUAAAAUGCAUCCUGAUUACAUCUUAUGUUUUUAUUCACUUUACAUUAUUGCCAUUUUAGUGGUGAAUCGAUAAUGUAUCAACUAUGCCCAUGUGUUCUUCAUUACCCCUUCCCUCAGCCUUCCUGUUGACACCCAUCCGGUUUACCUUGUUCACCUUAAAUAUUGCAUUGUUUCUUAAAUGUGGCAGACAGAAUUCUGGUGGGCCCAUUAAGGGACUUUACACAGCUGAAACUCAUCUGGAAAUCAUUGUUCACUGUAGCAACUUUAUAAAGAGAGCUGGUUUUCUGUUUAGCAGAGUAUCUUUUUAUAUUUGUGACAGGAUACCAUAGUUUAGCUGGGUAAUUAAAAAACACUGAAUAAAAGUGAUGUUACUUAUCCUACAAGGUCAUAUUUGGGGUAGCCCAAACUUAUUUUUACUAAAGACUUUUAAUCUCUAGGACCACAGCAUCAAAACCACUCUAGGGGAAGGGCUGCUGAGACAAAGUCUAAAUGCCUUAACGUCACCUCUCUUGUACUCUGUGUCCAGGUACACUGCACCUUUUUGAUUUCUUCAAACCUGUCAUGGUUAUGGAGAUAAAAUAUGGUGGUCAGAGGGGAGAGGUAUUUAGAAUUUGGCUGGAUUUAUUAACUGAUUGCAUAGUGAGAUUUAAGAAAGAUAAUUGCUAAGGUUGAGUUCCAGGAUUCUGGUUCAUGCAGCUGGGUAGAUGACGUUUUCAAUUCUUUUCAGGAAGAAAACAUAGGAAAAGGGAAUGUUUCAUGGUUAAAAGAUGUUGGAUUCUGGGCCGGGCAUGGUGGCUCAAGUCUGUAAUCCCAGCACUUUGGGAGGCCGAGGCGGGUGGAUCACGAGGUCAAGAUAUCGAGACCAUCCUGGUCAACAUGGUGAAACCCCGUCUCAACUAAAAAUACAAAAAAUUAGCUGGGCAUGGUGGCACGUGCCUGUAAUCCCAGCUACUCAGGAGGCUGAGGCAGGAGAAUUGCUUGAACCCAGGAGGCGGAGGUUGCGGUGAGCCGAGAUUGCACCAUUGCACUCCAGCCUGGGUAACAAGAGCGAAACUCCGUCUCAAAAAAAAAAAAAAAAGAAAAAAAAGAUGUUGGAUUCUGUUUUGAGCUUUUUGAGAUGCUCUAUGGGAUUACCCAGUGGGGAAGUUCCUACGCAGCUGGAUAGAUAGGUCUGAAGAUCAGGGCAGGGAACACAGUUGGAAAUGGUUACUGAGGGCCCAGUAGAUGCUAGUGGCAGAGAGAUGGCCUCUCUCUUCCGGGAGCUCCCAGUCUUCUAAGGGUGACAGAACCAAGGGGAAAGGAACGUACUCAAUAGUCAUAUCCUUGAGGAAAAGAAACAUCAGCAUGUAUUUUAACCAUUAGAGUGGAUGAGAUCACCCUGAGAGGUGUGUAGAGUGAGAAAGAAUAAUCCCAGGACCCUGAACAAUAUUGGCAUGUAAGUUUUGCGCAUAAGAAGAAAAGCAUCACAGAAAACUCCAUCUCAGUUGCCAGACGGAGGAGGAAAACUAGAGGAGUUCAGUGACCCUCAAGAAGAACACAGUCAAGGGUUGUGCUAGAGAAAGAUUGAGAUAAGAAUGGGGAGGUGUCCUUUAGAUUCUGAAAUAUGCAGGUGGUUAUGAACUUUGGAGACAGCUGUUUGGUGCAGUGUGGAAAUGGAGGCCAGUGGCAGCAGGUUCAAGAGGGAGGAGAGAUGAACUAGAAGGAGCAAGUAGACAACUUCCUUUGGAAGUUGACUUUGAAAAGGGGGUGAGAGACAUAGGUGGAAAGCCCCAUAAAUGCCAGUCUGUGUAGCUGAGUGCUUUUUCUCCAGCUUGAGGUAAGUGCUAAGGAGGCAGAUAAUUGAUGUGGCCCAGGACUGAAUUUUUCCAGGUGACUACCAAAGAAGGACACACGAGCAGAGAUUUUUGGGCAAGUGAAGAGUUAGAGAUGGGCUACAUGCUCUCAGCUGGAUGAACAGGGGUGUGAGGUCUAGAAGGAGCUGGUGGCGAGUUAACACCUUGUCAGAGAGACAGUAAUAGCUGAGUCUCAAGGGACCAGAGUCGCCCGCACAGCUGUCCCACCAGAUAGGAUGGAGAUUUUUUUAAUAAUGAGUGAGUCACGAGGCAAAUUUCCGGUCAUUUUGUCGUAAGCCCUACCUUUGAGAUGUUUUGCCGGCUUGGAAGAAGGAUAUAAUACCACUAAUAUUUAUGUUCAUCCGUCAUGCUGGAGGAAAAUGGAAGUGUUAUUGCUAUUGUUCUGGCUGUAUUAUUUCCUUUUCUAGCUUUGCUUUUUUUUUUUUUGUCCAAAUUAACCAGAAUUGAUUUAUUUUCAAUUCUAAUAAGGAGUUUAGUUAGACACAAGGUGAGAAGACUGGUUUCCAGACAUGAGAUUUUGGUGAGGAGAAUUUAUGGAGAUUGUACACAUCUGAAUAUGAAAGCAGUAACUUAUAGGAAAAGGAAAAAGCAGGGAACAGGAAGUUGAGGGGUCAGGACUGAGUCUCAGACCAACAGUUUCACAGUAUGACCUUAAUCGUUUUGAGUUCUUAGGUUAAGAAUAAUAGUUUCCCCUGUAGGAUUAUUAGGAAAAUUAAGAUGUAUGUGUAUGGAAUGCCUUGUAAUCCAGAAAGUGUUAUGCACAUAUUCUCUAUGCUGCCCAAACUGUGAGCAGUUCUAAGUCUUCUUCAUAUUCAUUCCUUCCCAUUUGAUUCAUUCAGAAACAGUGACAGAGAACCCAAUAGACAUCAGUGACUCAGGAUUUAGAGACAGCCUCUCCCUUCAGAAAACUCAGUCUUUCAGAGGAGUCAGAGGCCAAGUGGAAAGGGAGGUGCUCAAUGGACUCACUUGGGUGCCAUAGAAACACUGAGAGCAAAGGCUUCUAAACCAGACCGGGCUAUCAGGGGAGGCUUGCUGGAGGAGAUGUCACCUGAUACGACGAGUCCCAAGGGAUGAUAGGAAUCAAUCAGGCAAAGAAGGGGUUGGAGGAAGGCAAACCUGCAGAAGGAGCAGCAUAUUGCAAGGCUGAGGCUGCAGAGCAUGGAGCAUGUUUGGUUCAGUCCAGCUGAGCAGGGAAACCUAAUACAAAAACCACGACCAUGAGUCACAGCAAGAGAGAAGCGACAGAAGGGAACAUAUGUGUAAUUGAGAUACUUGAGAAUGUCUCAAGUGGUAAUAGGGGAAAGCCACAGGAUCAGGAGAAGUUGAUAAGGGAGUUUAUUGGUGAAGUAAUGAGAGGAGGCUGGAAACAAGCAAAGGUGGGACGCAGGAGAGGCAGAGGAGGGGCUCUCUUCCAAUGUUUUCGUGGGAAAGGAGUCAAAAUCACAAAUAAGGUGAGGGACAUUGAGAGAUUCUGUCCUUAAAGCCUCCCUUGUCAUGUAAAGUGAAAUGCAUGAGGUUAUUUUAUGUUUCAGUGCCUAGCAUGGUGCUCAGCACAUAGUAGGUGUUCAAUAAAUACACAUCGAGUGAACUACUGUCAUCCUGAGAACUGCUUAAGAAGCCCUACAGAGCAGCUGGACUGGAAAGCAAGGUGGCUUAUCCAUCUGGCUGGGGCAUACUGACUCUUUCCAGUUCAUCAAAGUUUGGCAGCCUGCUUUUUAACUUGCCAUUUGUUGUUAGUAUUGAUGCAGCCUGUUUGCUUCUGACCUUGGGAAUGUCGCAGGAUAGAGAUGUCCCAAGAAUAUCUCUAUUCCUUAGUACUAUGCAUAGGAGCAGCAGUUUCUUGAACAAAGAUCAAACUAGUUCUUUCCCAGUGAGGCUGGCGGCCCAUCCACGCCCACUGAGCAGAAUCUGGCUGCAGCUCAGACAAAAGCAGUUUAUCCUGUCUGUCUGGUUGUCUUUCUUACACAUUUCGGACAUGGUUCAAAGCUGCGUUAUAAGAAAAAAAUCUGCCCCUGAAACAGACUUGUAUGGGCAAGCAGGAUGCAACAGACAUGUGAGUUCUCGUCUCACCAAUCCUUUGUAUGAUUUCUGAGCCUUUGUCUUCUCAGUGCAUUGAAGAGUUUGGACCAAAUGAAUGCCUAGAUCAUCAUGUGUGCCAGGUAUUACAGACCAAGUUUUGUAUCAUCCAUUGGUUUCGUCAGUCUAAAAAUUGUAUCCUCAGUUCUUAUUCAGUGUCUGCCACCAAAUAUGUGCGCCAUACAGGUUUUGAAUUGAAUUGAGUUGCAUUAAUUUCUGUUCUUUCUAAGACACAUACACACACAUAGUAAAAUACUGCCCACUGGUUAUGUAAUUCACUUCCCUUAUUUAGUUCAUUUCUUCUCAACAAAUACUAAAGCUAUGAGAGAGAUCAGGUUUGACUUCUUUCAGAGAUGGCAAGAUCUUAGAGCCUCUGAAGUGGGGUAAGAAGAACUAGGAGGUGUAGGCAGGCUCAGAAAAAGGAGGCUGUGAUCACAGAUUAAUGUUUGCCGUGGAGAAGUAACUGGGAAGUCUGGGCACAAGUUUCAUUUAUUAUCAUUCUGCGUUCUCAAGGAGCUUACAGCUCAGCAAAAGGGAAAGAGCUGCAAAUAGAUAACUUUAGUUUAACCAAAGAAAAGAAAAAGCCAGAUUUGUAUGACAGAGACCACAGAAAUAAAAAUGCACUGAGUCCCUUUUGUACUCCUUGCUCACUGCGUUCUUUUCCCUCCUCUCUUGCUAAAGGUUACCACGCUUCUAAAGUUAUUGGGCAUCAUUUCCUCAGUUAGUUUUUAUGUCACACAUCUAUACAUAUUUAUCCAUAGGCAACAUACAGGAUUGUUCUGUUUUGAAAUCCUAAACAAAAACUGUAAGCUGGCUUUUCCCCACCAAACUUCGAUUUGACAUUUAUUCAUGUUGAUAUAUGUAGUUCUAAUGCCCUUAUUUUCUCUGCCAUGUAGCAUUUCAUUUAAAACAUUCAUUUACCUAUUCUCUGAUAGGUGGAUAUUUUCAGUUGCCUAAUUUUCUUUAUUGUGAUUAAUGUUUUAGUGCCCAUUUGAAUAUAUGUCCCCUUAUACCAUGGGGGUAUAUUUUUGUGGACAUACUUAUGGGAAGAAUUUCUGGGUAGUAAGUUCUAUCAUCUUCAAGUUUACUAGAUAUUGUGAUAUAGAUAUAAUGAAAUUACUUUCUGAAAGGUAACUUUAAUUCACACCCCUACUAGCAGUGUAUGAGAGUUCCAUUUCCUUGUGAAUACAUUGUAAUUUUAGACUUGCAAAAAUUGUACCAGUCCAAUGAAUAUAAAAUGGUAUCUCAUUGUUUCAAUAUCACUUCCCUGAUGACUGGGAAGUGUUUUAUUGACAAUUUAAAACUGAUUUCCUGUGGAUUGCCUGUAUAUGCUCCUGGCCCUUGUUCUUUGUAUUUUUUAUAUUUAUGUAUUUAUGUGAGUUCUUUAAACAUACUACCUAUGUCUUCUCCCAAUCUGGGCUUCUUAAAAGAUUGUUUUGUGUGUGUAAUUUUCCCAUUUGUUCAAUGGACAUUUUAAACUUUAGAGUAGUUGAAUUUAUAAGCUUUUCCUCUGUGGUUUGUGCUUUUUAUGCCUUCCCAACUCUAAGGUCUUUAGAACAUUCUUCUAUAUUUUAUUUCAAAUGUUGAAAUUUUUGUAGUUCAUGUUUAGGUCUUUAAUCCUAAAAAUGCUUGUUGUUCACAUUUGGGACUAUAAUGUGGAAACUAUUUGUAUUCAAGGUUUGAGGUAGAGAACUAAUUUAAUUUUAUAUUUCCCUGAAUUGCCAAUAGUCUCAGCAUCAUUUAUUAAAGACUUUAUUUUUCUCUAUUUUUUUUUCAUUCCACUUUUGUCAUACGCCAAGAACUCAUAUUUGAAUAGGUUUUGGGGGUCCUUAUUUGGUUUGGUUCAUCUAUUUCUGUGCCAAUAAUGUAUAAUUUUAUUUUUUCAGGUUUGUAAUAAUUAUAGGGCAAGUCUUAUCUACUUGUUGGUUCUAUGAGAAAUUCUUGGGAUUUUGAAUUAGUAGAUUUCCUUUGAGGAAAAACAACCUUUAUUUACUCAUUCAAAUCCCUUGAGGAAAAGCAGCCUGUAUUUACUCAUUCAGCAUCACGUUUACUGAGCGUUAGGAUGUUAGUUUGGUCUUAUGGCCUCCGUUUAUUAUUUCUAAUGAGAAGUUCAUAGUCAUUAGUCUGGUUCUCCUGAACACCAGUUUUUUCCUCUGGCUGCUUUGGAAAUUUUCUUUUUUCUUUACAUGACAGCAGCUUGACUUUAAUGUACCUACGUGUAAUUUUCUUUGUAUUUAAUCCUCGCCUGGGAUUCACUGAACCUCUUCAACCUGCAAAUUUAUUUCUUUCACCAAAUUUAAUGAUUUUAAAAAAUCAUGAUUUCUUCAAACCCUUCUUUUUCUACCCCAUUUUCUCUCCAUCCUUCUGGGAUUCAAAUUAUAUGCUUGUUAGAUUUUUAAAAUGUUAUCACAUACAAUACUGAGGCUCUGUUCAUUUUUUUAAAAUCUUUUCUCCCCUCUGUCUGUCCUUGAGACUGGAUAACUUCUGUUGUUCUGUCUUCAGAUUCACUGACCCUUUCUUCUGUCAUUGCUAUUCUGCUGUUAAGCCCAUCCUGUGAAGUUUUUCUUUUCUCUGGUGAGAUUUUUCUACUUAUUCGUUCACCAAAACCAUAUUUUGCUUUACAUCUUUGAGCAUUGUUAUAACAGUUGCCUUAAAUAAUCCUUCUCAGCUGAUUUCAACCUGUCAGGAUCCUGUCCAUGGAGAGCCUCUGCUCUUCACAGUGAGUCACAUCUUUCUGUUUCUUCUAUGUGUAAUAGUUUGAGGCGACAGCGUGACUGACGUGCGGUAGAGACUCUGGAUUCCGUUAUACUUCUUUCCAGAGCUGGGAUUUUUUGCUUAGUUUAGUUUUACACCCAUUUAACUCGCCUUGACUCAAACUCCAAACCCCAUCUGUACUGUGAUGGGCAGCAGCAGAAAUACCUGUUAAAUCAAUUGAGUACUACCAGCUGAGUGGCUUCAGAACGUAUCCCACACCUACAUAGUUCAAGCGUCAGCCUAUGCAAUCUGGGGUUCUCUCCCCUUCUCUGGCUCUCUUUUUUCUAGGAUUUCUGGCCUCACUUUUCAGCUGCUAUGAUUGCUGUGAAGUCUGUUCUUUGGUUCUUCAAGCCAGAAAUAUAUGGACCUUCUGUCCCAGUUUUAGUCGUUCAAAUUGACAUGAUCUGGGACCAGCCCUUAGACAAAAACAAUGCUGUUUCUUUUUUCCAAAUGUAGAUUUUCUUCCAGUUUCUGCUAGAUUUUGGUUGUUCUUCAAGCAGUAUUUUAAAAAAUAUUUUGUCCAAAAUAUGUAGUUGUUAUCUGUGGGAUGGUUAAUCUAAUAAAAGCAAUACCUCUGUUACUUUGUAAUGAAUUUGUAAUUUGUCUAUAAAGCUAGACAUUGUGAUCUGGGAUAAUUUUUAUACAGUUUUUCAUUUUGUAGUCACCACAGUUCCAUGUGUUUUCUUCCCAGGGAUGCUGAAUAUGGUGACUUAAUCCCUUUUAAAUAGAUAGUUUAGCUCUUUGAAGCUCUGGGUUUUUUGUAAGACUGUCACUUCCAGGCCGCUGCCUCCCAUGGUUCUGGGAUCUUAUCUCCUACAAUUUAUGUGGGGGAAAAGAACUGUAAUCUCACAUGCUCACCUAAGAUCCAUAAGUGGUUGGGCCCUACAGCUUCAGUUCCAGUGUGCCCAUCAGACUUUAGUUUCUUCAUCCUUAGACACUGUAGGUUUUUCCUUCAUAAUUGUUUUUCUUGCUGCUGCCACUGCUGUUAACUUUGAAUAAAUCUUUUCUUAAAACAAUUACAAUCUACCUAGCAAUUCUGUGUUUUCAGUAGAAAGGGGGCAUAUGUAUUAUUAGCUUGAUCCGUUUACUUGUCAGAAGUUUGCAGCAGUGUUUUCUGUAGUGGACAACAUCAGACCAUUCCCAGAUCCAGUGCUUACUGCUAGUUCCUAUGCUUGGUGGGGAAACGAUUCAGGUAGGAAUAGAUGGACUUUGGGCAGAGAUCUUACUGAUAGCUCUUAGAAAAACUAGGGGCAUAGGAGCAACUAACAUUAUUUUAGCAUCUAGUAUAGCCCAAGCUCUAAGCCACGCAGUAUUACUUCCAUUUUACACAUUAGGAAAUGGAGACACAGAAAGACCUAAAUAACUUGUUUCACCCUAAGGAGAGUCAUAUUGCAAGUUACUUGACUCAAAAUCACAUAUCUACCAUGGUACAGUACUGCCUCUACAAACAUACUUAGUAAUUUUAUAGAGGGCAAAAAAUGGAAACUGUGCUGUGUCUACUAGCAGUUGUGACAGAACUCCAAAGCUAAUCAGCACUGGAGAACGUGUGGAGGAGAUUACAAUGAGUGUUUGCCAGAUCCAUGCUUCCCAUAGGUGAAAUUCAUGAGAUAUCAUUGAAAACCCUCUCUGUGCUGCCAAAACUCACAUUAAGAGGUUGUUUGCCUGUUGCUUUGAAGAGAAGUGAAAGAAAGGAAUGCAUGAAUAAUCUAUUUUUGGCCAGAAAGACACAGUAUUCAUUUAAUGUCCAAGGAUGUUAAUUUUAGUGACCACAGUUUUUUAGCAAUAUUAAUUACCUUUCCUUUAUAAAGAAGGAUUUUCCCUUUGGGAUCUUUAUUGAUUUACCUCAAUCCAGGAGUUGUACAAAGUCUCUGACUUACUCCUAAUAAACUUAUUAACAGGCUUUGAAGUCAGGAAUGAGCCUCCCAUGUUUUCUCUUCAAAUACAAAUCUUUAUAAUGUGCCUUGUCAUUUACAGGGGCAGGAAUACAUCUUCUUAGAUGUUGGCUCAGAAUCCUCAUGUAAAUGCCAUUGGCAUUUGGGCUAGGUUUUUAUCUUCUAGGUGGGGUCUCUUAGAAUAUGCUGUUUUUUCUGACAUUCAGCAAUGUUGAGAGAGGAGUUUUGAAAAUUCUCAUGUAUCUAUCAUAAAGUCCUAAACACAGACCACUUCAUAGUCAUGUAAAACAGAUAUUUUAAUUUUCAGUUUUUAGGUGAGGAAGCUGAGCACCAACUAAAGUGACUUUGCCCAAGUUAGUCAAGGCAGAAUAAUAGCAAAUCUGGAUCAGAUGUUUGUGUGACCUUGAGCAAGUCGCUUGCCUGUCUGUGCCUUUAGUUUCCUUGCCUAUGAAAAGGGGCUAAGAAGAGCAGCUACUUCAUGGUUCUGUUGAAAGGACAGAUUGAGUUAAUGCAUGCAAAUCACCUGGAUCACUGCCUGGCACAUAGUCAACAGUAUGCAAGUUUGCUUUUUAAAGAUUACUGUUAAGUUGAGCAGACAUGGAUUUCUGCAGGAGGCAGGAUGGUUCAGAAAAAAGAAAAAUGAACAAACAAAACGUGGGCUUCGGAAUCCUGGUUCUAACGUUAUCCUAGCUCGAGUUUUCUGUAUAGAGCCUCUGAGGUUGCAAAGUAGGGUUGAAUGGGAUGGUUAGAAUUCUAGAGGAGA